rnacentral:rRNA from 1 species
AGUGAACGCUGGCGGUAGGCCUAACACAUGCAAGUCGAACGGCAGCACAGUAAGAGCUUGCUCUUACGGGUGGCGAGUGGCGGACGGGUGAGGAAUACAUCGGAAUCUACUUUUUCGUGGGGGAUAACGUAGGGAAACUUACGCUAAUACCGCAUACGACCUACGGGUGAAAGCAGGGGAUCUUCGGACCUUGCGCGAAUGAAUGAGCCGAUGUCGGAUUAGCUAGUUGGCGGGGUAAAGGCCCACCAAGGCGACGAUCCGUAGCUGGUCUGAGAGGAUGAUCAGCCACACUGGAACUGAGACACGGUCCAGACUCCUACGGGAGGCAGCAGUGGGGAAUAUUGGACAAAGGGCGCAAGCCUGAUCCAGCCAUACCGCGUGGGUGAAGAAGGCCUUCGGGUUGUAAAGCCCUUUUGUUGGGAAAGAAAAGCAGCAGGUUAAUACCCCGCUGUUCUGACGGUACCCAAAGAAUAAGCACCGGCUAACUUCGUG